rnacentral:lncRNA from 1 species
GGGGCAGCUACUGUGCACAGAAUAGUUCUGAGCAUAAUGGGGAACCUCCCUACCAGAAGACCUUAUUCAGAUCCUCAAAACCAAGGCAAAUAGUGGUACCUGUACGUAGUCAGGGAGAGUCUAAGGAGUAUUAGUGGAGGAUCUAAGAGGAAAUUGUUUCCAACUAGUCAAGAAGGUGACAUUGGAGAUUUUGGUAUCAGGGGCAUUAUUAAUUUCUUUCUUUGCAUUCUAUUUAUUUUGUUUAUAAGUUUAUCGAAUAACAAUUUAUGCAAAAUAAAUUACACGUAUUUAAAGUGUACACUUGAAUGAGUUUUGACAGAUGAAAUCAUACGAACGUAAUCAAGAUCCCACAUACUUUUAUCACCUUCACAGCCCCUCACCCUUGAGCAAAGAUUGUUCACUUUCACCUCCAUCCCAUUCAAUUACUGCCAUGCUUUCUUCUGUCAUUAUAGAUUAUAUUUUCUAAAAUAUAUAUAUAUAUAAAUGGAAUCAUAUGGGAUAGACUCUUUUGUGCCUGGCUUCUCUCACAAAGCAAAAAGAUUGUGAGGUUCAUUCAUGUUGUUUCAUUAUUUAUUUUUAUUGCUGAGUAAUAUUCCAUUGCAUAGACAUAUUUGACGAGGUGUUUAUCUGUUGAUGGACGUUUGGGUGAUUUCAGUUGUCAUUGUUAAAAAUAAAGCUUGAUAUAUAUAAAUCGUUUUGUGAACAUGUUUCCGUUGCCCUUUGGCAGAUCCUGUGGAGUGUAACUGCUGGGUCACAUAGUAGAUUCAUAUUUAAUUUUCAAGGCUGAAUGUUGUUUUCCUAAAUAGCUACACAAUUAUACAUUCCCAUGAAUGGUGCAUAGGCUCAGUUAUUCCAUAUCUCUGUCAAUACUUGAAAUUUUCAGUCUUUAAAUUCAGUUAUUCUAAGGAGUAUAGAAUUCAGUAUAAGGUGGCGUUAUGAUUUAACUUCUCUUUUACCAGAUGUUGAGCAUCUCCUCAAGUCCUUAUUGACUUUCUGUAGAUCUUUUGUGAUUUUUCUGUUAAAACCUUUCAUCACUUGUUUUUUGGUAGUCUUUUUUAUUAUUUGAGUUGGCUGAUUCUUUAUAUAUUCUGGUCUGAUUUACAUGUUUAUCUAUAGCUUGAUCUUUAUUUUCCUAAUGGUGUCUUUUGAUGAGCAGAUGUGUUUAGUUUUGAUGUCAUAAAAUUUAUGAAUCUUGUCUUUUAUGAGUUAUGCUUUGUGUCUCCAAUGUGAGAAAAUUUGUUAAGCUCCAAAUCAAAAGACUCUUUCUAGAAAUUUUUCAUUUUCACUUUUACAUUUGGGUCUAAGAUCUCUAUACAGUGAUUAUUUUUGUGUGUAUGUGUUGUGUGCAAUGCAAGGAAAAUUAUUCAUUUUUUUCUUAGAAGUUUCCACCACUUGCCUUGGUAGGUGCUCAUAGCUUUUUGUGUGUAUGUGUG